rnacentral:rRNA from 1 species
GACGAACGCUGGCGGCGUGCUUAACACAUGCAAGCUGAACGGAAAGGCCUCUUCGGAGGUACUCGAGUGGCGAACGGGUGAGUAACACGUGGGUAAUCUGCCCUGCACUUCGGGAUAAGCCUGGGAAACUGGGUCUAAUACCGGAUAUGACCACGAGGCGCAUGCCUUGUGGUGGAAAGCUUUUGCGGUGUGGGAUGGGCCCGCGGCCUAUCAGCUUGUUGGUGGGGUGAUGGCCUACCAAGGCGACGACGGGUAGCCGGCCUGAGAGGGUGUCCGGCCACACUGGGACUGAGAUACGGCCCAGACUCCUACGGGAGGCAGCAGUGGGGAAUAUUGCACAAUGGGCGCAAGCCUGAUGCAGCGACGCCGCGUGGGGGAUGACGGCCUUCGGGUUGUAAACCUCUUUCAGCAGGGACGAAGCGCAAGUGACGGUACCUGCAGAAGAAGCACCGGCCAACUACGUGCCA